rnacentral:rRNA from 1 species
AAUUAAGAAUAGAAAGGAAUUAUAGUGGAAGACUAAUCUAUAUAUAAAAAGGAGGUAUAUACCAAAUUAUUGUUGAUAAAUAUAUGAUACAAUAAAAUCCAAAGAUUAAAAAAUCAAAGGGCUAAAAAAGCCAUUAAUAACCUGCUAAACUGAAACAUCUAAUUAAGCAGAGGAAAAGAAAUCAACCGAGAUUCAAAAAGUAGUGGCGAACAAAAUUUGAAAAGUCUAAAAAAAAAAAGAAACCUAAAAUUUUGGAAAAAAUAUCCUUAGAAGGUAAAAGUCCUGUGGGUUAUCUUUUAUAAUUGUAUUAAGUAAAAUGAGAGUUAACUUAUUUGAAAAAAGGGGAACCAUCCUCUAAGACUAAAUAUGAUAUAUAGAAUGAUAGUGUAAAGUACUGUAAAGGAAAAGAUUGAAAAGAAAAGGAGAUAAAAGAAGUGAAAAAGAUCCUGAAUCUGUAAUUCUAUAAGUAAGGGGAAUAAUAGUAAUAAAAACCCUGUACCUUUUGCAUAAUGGGUCAGCAAGUUGAUAAUAUAAGUAAGAUGUAAAAUCGAAAUGAAAAUAAAUAAAUUUUUAUUAUCAGACCCGAAAUCUAGUGAUCUUCCCAUGAUCAAGUUCUAGGACUGAACCUUAGUUUGUUGCAAUAAACAAGGAUGAAUUGUGGGAAGGGGCGAAAGACCAAUCUAACUAGAAGAUAGCUGGUAUUCCGCGAAAACUAUAAUAGUAGUACAUUUUAAAAAAAUUAUAAUCAUAAUUCGUGCUAAGGAUUAUAUCUAAUUAUCAAAAAAAAUGAAUAAUUAUAAAAAUAUAAAUCUAAUCAUCAUAAAAUAUUAUAAUAUUAAAAUAGUCAGUCUUAAGGGGAUAAGCUCAUAAGACAAAAGGGAAAAAGCCCAGAACCUUAAAUAAGGUCCCUAAUUAAUAACUAAGUGAAAUAAAGAGAGUAAAGUGUAUUAUUCAACUCUAUAGUAGGCUUGGAAACAGCCAUCUAUAAAAGAAAACGUAAUAGUUCAAGAGGAUGAUAGAUAAUUAUAAAUCUAUCAAUAUAACUAAUAAGCAUCGAAAAUGUAAAGGGUCUUAAGUUAUUAACCGAUAUAAGGUUGAAAAAGGUAGCGGAACAUUCAGUAAAUGGAAAGAAGGUAUAAACCUUUAAACAUAUCUGAAGAGAGAAUGCUGACAUGAGUAACAAAAAUGAAUGUUAAAGAAUCAUUCAGGCCGAAAAAAAUAGGUUAAAAGUAAAAAGGAUAAACCUUUCUUAAAUUAAACGGUCUCUAAAUUAUAUGAUGAGUAGAUUAGAAAAUUUAUAGAAUUUUAUAAAAUAUUUAGUAUAUAAUAAUAAAAUAUUUAAGUAGUUAACUUUAUUUUAUUAUUAUAUACCUGGAAAAUAUCUAAUCUAACCGUUCUAAAACCAACACAGGUUUUUUUAUAGAGUAUAUUAAGGCCUAUCAGAUAAUCAUCUUUAAGGAACUCGGCAAAUUACUCCUGUAACUUCGGAAUAAAGGAGGGUCUAUAUAGACUGGCACAGAAUAGAAGAGAACAACUGUUUACUAAAAACACAGCACUUUGCAAAUAUAAAAAAGAUUAAAUAGUAGUAUAAAGUGUGAAACCUGCCCAGUGCUAGCAAGUAAGUAAACUAUCUAUAAAGGAUAAUUUAAUAAUUUCUAGUAAACGGCGGUCUUAACUAUGAGGAUCCUAAGGUUGUGGGUUAAUAUACAAGCGAAAUUCUUUGUCAUCUAAUUAGUGACGCGCAUGAAUGGUAAAAUGACUUUUCUUACUGUCUCAAAGAUGAACUGAGUGAAAUUACAAUGUCCGUGCAGAUGCGGACUACCAUUAGCUAGACGGGAAGACCCUUUGAAGCUUUACUGUUAAUAAAUAUCUUUAAUUAAAAUUUAAAAUUAAGGUUAUCUUUAUUAGAUUUACUUAUCUUAAAUUAAAUUAAAAAAAAUUGUUUAUAAGACAGUUUUCUUGGGAGGAGAUCCUCAUAAAAAGUAACUGAGGAGUUCAAAGCUUUAUUUAACCUGAAGGGAAAUCAGGGAAUGUUAAUAACAUUCUAAAAAGUAUAAUGAUAAAUAAAGUUGACGUUUAGGAUCACAAUCCAAAACGAGUCGUAAGACGGACAUAGUGAACCGAUAAUAUCAAUAUGGAAUGGUUAUCGAUUAUCGGAAUAAGCUACUCAAGGGAUAACAGGCUAGUUAUGCAUGAUAGUACACAUUGACUGCAUAGCUCGGCACCUCGAUGUCGACUCAUCUUAUCCUGGAGCAGAAGCAUGUUCCAAGGGUUUGGCUGUUCGCCAAAUAAAAAGGUACGUGAGUUGGGUUAAAUACGUCGUAAGACAGUAUGGAUCCUAUCUACUAAUGGAAAACAAAAAUAAUAGGUUUUAAUCGUAGUACGAAAGGAAUCGAUAGAGUUAAUCUCUUGUUUUUCAGUUAUGUAAAAGUAUAGCUGAUAAGCUACAUUAAUAAAAGUUAAUAACUGAAAGCAUAUAAAGUUAGAAACUAGCCUUAAAAAUUUGUUAAUUAGAAAGGAUAAAGAAAAUAUCCAAAUAGGUUAUUAGUGAUAAUAUAGUAAUAUAAAAGCUUAAUAAUACUAAAAAUCAAGAAACUUAAUAAA